UCCGACAAUCUAGCUUCUAAACAGGGCUAAUCAUCAAGUCCUAAACCUGUUCCAUGUGCUCUGAUUCUAAGUCAUUCUGUAUCUAGCUCCCCAUCAAACCAAAAGAUGGUGCAUCAUGUGGCUGUGACUCAGCUGGUGUCAAUGAGCUGAAGUGUACAGUUAAUGUCCUUCAAACUGAUUUUUUUAUGUUAAAAUAAUAAAAACUAGAGUGUUUUUCACGCUGAAUCUUCAGAGGGACAACAUAGGCUAACUCUGUAUUUUUGAUCUGGUCUGAACCAGUUGAAUUCAUAAUAUGUAUUAUUGCACAUUUCAAUCUUACCCUCAGUGCGAAUGAUUCCCAUGAAGGUCUUCCUGAAACCCUCCUGCUUCCCAGCUAAAGAGUGCACCUGGAUCCUGGACUUCACACAGUCUAUG